GGGAAUGUGGCUUAAUGGUAGAGUGCUUGCCUAGCAUGCAUGAAGCCCUAGGUUCAACUCCUCAGUACCA
rnacentral:tRNA from 1 species